rnacentral:lncRNA from 1 species
AGAGUAUAAUAAGAAAAGGGAAAACUUCAGAAACCCCCCCUGUGGUUUCGUAGUUUCUCACUUUGCCCCCCUGUGGUUUAAAAUGUAUCAAAUUGCCCCCCUGUGGUUUCAUUUUUAUCUUUUCGGUAGCUUUUUCGUUAAUAUUUAAUUAAAUUAUAUACAAAAAACUUUAGAUACCCAUCUAGAUUUAUCAAAUAUUCACUUUAGUACCCUUUGAUUUUAACUUUAUAACUGAU